rnacentral:rRNA from 1 species
UACGUAGGGGGCAAGCGUUGUCCGGAUUAUUGGGCGUAAAGAGCGUGUAGGCGGUUGGUAGUCGCUCUGAAAGUCCAAGGCUCAACCUUGGGAUGCGGGUGGAUACUGCCGGGCUCGAGUCCGGAAGAGGCGAGUGGAAUUCCUGGUGUAGCGGUGAAAUGCGCAGAUAUCAGGAGGAACACCAAUGGCGAAGGCAGCUCGCUGGGACGUGACUGACGCUGAGACGCGAAAGCGUGGGGAGCAAACAGG